CAAGAAAACAUGUCGGCGCCGAGUGAAUUAAGAAAAAAACUGGGGCGAGCUGUCGUGCGAAAAAUUCUUCUUUGAAUGAAACACCGUGGAAAUAAAGAAAGUCGCGAACAUGGUCAAGCUGCUGGGCAAUUAUCUAAAAUUGAGCCUGCAUGGAAACAUUUUAAAGUUGAUGGUGCUUAUGAUGUGUUACAU